rnacentral:rRNA from 1 species
CUACGGGGUGCACCAGUGAGGAAUAUUGCACAAUGGGGGGAACCCUGAUGCAGCAACGCCGCGUGGAGGAUGACGCAUUUCGGUGUGUAAACUCCUUUUAUAUGUCAAGAAAAUGACGGUAGCAUAUGAAUAAGCACCGGCUAACUCCAUGCCAGCAGCCGCGGUAAUACGGAGGGUGCAAGCGUUACUCGGAAUCACUGGGCGUAAAGGACGCGUAGGCGGGUUGGAAAGUCAGGUGUGAAAUCCUACAGCUUAACUGUAGAACUGCACUUGAAACUUCUAAUCUAGAGUAUGGGAGGGGGAGAUGGAAUUAGUGGUGUAGAGGUAAAAUCCGUAGAUAUCACUAGGAAUACCUAAAUCGAAGGCGAUCUCCUGGAACAUUACUGACGCUAAGGCGUGAAAGCGUGGGGGGCAAACAGGAUUAGAUACCCCCGUAGUC